rnacentral:rRNA from 1 species
AACGAACGCUGGCGGCGUGCCUAACACAUGCAAGUCGAGCGCGAAAGGGCUUCGGCCCCGGUAGAGCGGCGCACGGGUGAGGAACACGUGAGUAAUCUACCCUUCGGCGGGGGACAACUGCUGGAAACGGCAGCUAAUACCGCGUACAGUCUUAGAAUCGCAGGGUUUUUAAGAGCAAAGAGGGGCUUCGGCUCUCACCGGAGGAUGGGCUCGCGUCCCAUUAGCUAGUUGCGGGGUAACGGCCCACCAAGGCUCAGAUGGGUAACUGGUCUGAGAGGAUGAUCAGUCACACUGGAACUGAGACACGGUCCAGACUCCUACGGGAGGCAGCAGUGGGGAAUAUUGCGCAAUGGACGAAAGUCUGACGCAGCAACGCCGCGUGGGUGAUGAAGGCCCUUGGGUCGUAAAGCCCUGUCAGGAGGGAAGAAUGAGCAGGCGGUUAAUACCCGUCUGAAGUGACGGUACCUCCAAAGGAAGCACCGGCUAACUCCGUGCCAGCAGCCGCG